rnacentral:rRNA from 1 species
UAAAACGUAGGAGACGAGCGUUAUCCGGAUUUACUGGGCGUAAAGCGUGUGCAGGCGGUUCGGCAAGUUGGAUGUGAAAUCUCCCGGCUCAACUGGGAGGGGUCGUUCAAUACUACCGAACUUGAGGUCAUCAGAGGAAGAUGGAAUUCCCGGUGUAGUGGUGAAAUGCGUAGAUAUCGGGAGGAACACCAGUGGCGAAGGCGGUCUUCUGGGAUGAUCCUGACGCUCAGACACGAAAGCUAGGGGAGCGAACGGGAUUAGAGACCCCGGUAGUCCUAGCUGUAAACGAUGUAGACUUGGCGUCGGAGGGUUCAAAACCUUCGGUGUCGUAGCUAACGCGAUAAGUCUACCGCCUGGGGACUACGGCCGCAAGGUUA